CGCGUAGGCGGCCAGCACAAGUCAGUUGUGAAAUCUCCGAGCUUAACUCGGAAAGGUCAACUGAUACUGUGCGGCUAGAGUGCGGAAGGGGCAACUGGAAUUCUUGGUGUAGCGGUGAAAUGCGUAGAUAUCAAGAGGAACACCUGCGGCGAAGGCGGGUUGCUGGGCCGACACUGACGCUGAGGCGCGAAAGCUAGGGGAGCGAACG
rnacentral:rRNA from 1 species